UACGGAGGGUGCAAGCGUUAUCCGGAUUCACUGGGUUUAAAGGGUGCGUAGGUGGGCAGGUAAGUCAGUGGUGAAAUCUCCGGGCUUAACCCGGAACUGCCGUUGAUACUAUCUGUCUUGAAUGUAGUUGGAGGUGAGCGGAAUAUGUCUGUAGCGGUGAAAUGCUUAGAUAUGACAUAGAACAUCGAUUGCGAAGGCAGCUCGCUACACUAUUAUUUGACACUAGGCACGAAAGCGUGGGGGAUCAAACAGG
rnacentral:rRNA from 1 species